rnacentral:rRNA from 1 species
GACGAACGCUGGCGGCGUGCUUAACACAUGCAAGUCGAACGGAAAGGCCCUGCUUUUGUGGGGUGCUCGAGUGGCGAACGGGUGAGUAACACGUGAGUAACCUGCCCUUGACUUUGGGAUAACUUCAGGAAACUGGGGCUAAUACCGGAUAGGAGCUCCUGCUGCAUGGUGGGGGUUGGAAAGUUUCGGCGGUUGGGGAUGGACUCGCGGCUUAUCAGCUUGUUGGUGGGGUAGUGGCUUACCAAGGCUUUGACGGGUAGCCGGCCUGAGAGGGUGACCGGGUACAUGGGGCGUGAGAUAAGGGCUGGGAGGGACCCGGCGGCAGCAGGGGCGAGGCGUGCAGAACGGGCUGCGGCUUGUCAACGUCUGGCGGCGGGCGCGAGGAUGGCGUUAGGGUGGUAAAUAGAUACAGACUGGGAAGCAGCGUGAGUGCCGGGACGGUGUAAAGAAGAAACGGCGAGCUAAGUG